GGAGAUUCCGGUUCUACUUGUUGAAGAGAUGUCAUAAAGAUUGUUAUACAUUAGGGACUACAGCCUCGUUCCUCCUGGUAAACAUGGGUCUGUGAGUAUUUGGGGGAUUUUGUUCCAGAAGAAACCUUAACAUUCAACAUGUGACUCCACGAGGCUCCUUAGUUCUGAACACAUGUGACCAGUGACUUGAAAGUGGGUGAGAGCCUCGAGGCCUGGCUGUGAGGCUACAGGGCAACAAUUUCCUUGCCUGCUGAAAUAAGAAAUAAGAAAAUAAGAAAUAAGAAAGCAGACUUUUCUGCACAAGCCAACGUUGCCAAACAGGGAUAUAACAUCAACACUCGCUCACAGCACCAAGCUACCCCUUUGGAGGAAGUCCAGAGUGGGAACUUCAUGCUAAACCUGUGGGCUGAGGUGAGUUCUGCAUUGGAAACCAGAGAGACUCCAAACUGCCUGUAACUCUGCUUCACUGUAAUCUGUGGGAACUGAAUUCACAUAUCUGCCUCAGACCUGUUGGUUAAGAUCAUGUCCAGUCUGGUCUACAAAGUGAGUUCCAGGACAGCCAGAGGUAUACAGAGAAACCCUGCCUCGAAAAAACAAACAAACAAACAAACAAA
rnacentral:lncRNA from 1 species